rnacentral:rRNA from 1 species
CUAUGCGCCUUGCCAGCCCGCUCAGGUGUGCCAGCCGCCGCGGUAAUACGUAGGGGGCAAGCGUUAUCCGGAUUCACUGGGUGUAAAGGGAGCGCAGGCGGUACGGCGAGUCUGAUGUGAAAACCCGGGCCCAACCCCGGGGACCGCACCGGAUACUGCCGGACUCGAGUGCCGGAGGGGCAGGCGGAAUUCCUGGUGUAGCGGUGAAAUGCGCAGAUAUCAGGAGGAACACCGGUGGCGAAGGCGGCCUGCUGGACCGUGACUGACGUUGAGGCUCGAAAGCGUGGGAGCGAACAGG